GGAGUUGCUCCUGCUCCAGUUUUGGCUGUAGGAAUAACAAUAAAGAAACGCUGAAUGUCAAAAAAAGUUAUGUGAUUAUACGGAAGUAAGAUACAAGAGCACAUGGAAUACAAAAAAAAACAUUUUAUCCAAUUUGGUUUCUGGUUGAUAAGAAGGCUUUGACCGUGCUCUGUGAAAAAGCCUGGGGCUUGCUUAAAGGUUGUCUUUUGUACCAGAACAAUCCAAAAUGGGAGCAGAUGUGAAUCUGCACCCUGUGCUUCAGUUCUGCUUCCUCUGUCUGGGAAUCAGAUUUACAACCAAACUCAUUCACGGCACUUGACCUGAAUAAUCCCGAUCACUACCAACCAGUGCAAGGAGAACGUCGCUGUCACUUUAAGAACUGUCUGCCCUUCUGGAUUUUUCUUUCCUUCCUCCUUUUUGUGGUUAUCUCAGCAAGAGCAUAAAAUGAGGCAAAUCUCCUGCUGGCCAACAAGAUAACAGCAAUGCAUGAAGAAAAGGCAGACGUCAACAGAAACCAGCUGAUACAAAAAGAGAAAUCAAUGGACCAGUCAUCAUGAAUACAACAUGAGCCAAGAAACAAAACAAGAAAGAAAGCAGUGGUGAUUUGCCUUGAUCACCUGCUCAACCAGCACAGAUGUACUUGAUAAAGAGACAUAACCUUCCCAUCUGCCAUGAUGCUUUUAAACCUGCAGCCCUGGACUUACCCACAUUCCCAGUAAGGGACAUCACACCUCGCUGGACCGAACCUGAACAUUAAAUUAACUGACUGGCAUGGCAUCUCUGUGUUUGUGUGUUGUAUAUAAACACUCGCAGACUUCAACUGUCAUGCUGCCAAAUGAAAUUGCUGCUGAUAAGAGCGUGAUACGCUCAGCAUAUGAAAAUGUUCAGUCCCGUUCAAAGCACCGGUGGCAUUUACAUAAACGUGCUGUACAGAUGCUGGAGUGAUGGGAAAAAUGUCAGUCUAAUGAUAUACAUAUUGCGUAGUCUGCUGUGGAUGUAGAUAAAAAUUAGACACAAACUGGUAUUUAAAAACUCAAAUAAUUUUGAGAUUUGGAGCGUCCAAUUUGAUUUCAGUUUUUACCAUUGUCUUAUUAUCUUAUAACAAGAAAAUGCUUUAGCGUGGUUUUCACAGACUGUCCUACAUAUAUAUGACAUCAACUAGUUGUGCUAUAGCAUCUAAGGAAGAUUUUUGUGAUCUCCGGCCGUCGCACACAGGAAGUUAGUCAUCUGUUGCCAUGGUGCGUUAGUGAGUUAAACUGUAUCUCACGCUGCAUGGUAUCUGGCCUACCAGACCAGAAAGACAUUCACUCGCUGUCUUUGUCUUCAAAUAGCACAAAGAUUUUAAAUCUGGUUGGUUGCAGCCAGUAAGAGCUCCAGUAAUGGCAGAUGCAUAUAACCCUGGAUAUUUCUGAGAUCUGAUUUGGUGGUAAAGGCUGUAUUCUGGCACCUUUGAUUGAAUCAAAGUGGACCUUAAUGCCAUCCUUAUUUAUGGGGAACUCACUGCUCCCUCUGAUCACUCGAGAUUCAAAACUCCUUGGCAAUAUAAAUGAAAAGACUCCACACGCUUUAUAAUGGACUAAACUGGACUUGAGAAAUCAGACAACCACCAUUUUGUCUAUACUUACGAAGAGUAAUGCUAUCCAACCAUCUGCUUGCCAACAAACACACUUCAUUGCAUGCAAAUCCACAAAGGCCUGCCUUCCCAUUAUGUCCAAAUCACACACCCAUCAUCGGAUUUACAACAUCCUAAAACCAGGCGCGCGCUUUCAGUUGCGCGUGGUAAAAACGGUGCCUUAUAGGCAGUCAGCCAGUGAGCAGACCCUGACAGAGCGCGCACUUCCCUCAAUGUCCUGCUGACGGUGGAGGGCGCUAAAGAGCAAGAGGAAUGAACCAGAAACCUACAGUAUAACAGGACUGAACUACUAACAACCAGUUUCAGAUUGUGUUCUCAACAAUAGGAGGUACUGAGUUCUUUUGUGGCUGCAGUUUCUCUUCUGGCCGUUAGAUGGCGCCUUACUCUCACCAAUCCAUGAUGUGUUUUACAAAAGCUGUGGAGAAAAAGAAUAAGGAUAAUGAAUCGUCUAUCCAUUUUCAUAGCAAAGAACAUGGGUAAAUAACGUUAAUUGUUUUGAUAUGCAAAAAAUAUGUCAUUCUAAAAUGUUUAUAUAUACAGUAAUACAAAUAAUGUAAUACAGCAUUAUAAGAAGAGUUCAGAUGCAAAACCCUCUAAGUGCGUUUGACACAUUUUCUUCUAAAUGAGCAUUUUUAUCAAACUGAUAAACUGAUGUUUAGUAAUUUCACUUUAAUGGGUAUUUAAAAAGUUAUUAGUCUGUAAUUGAAAUGCCUUAUUUUUACAAAUGUC